ensembl:lncRNA
AGAAAGUGCAUUUAUAUACUUAUACCCACAUAUGUAUGUGUUUAUAUAGCGAUCUGUGUAUUUAGGCAAACGGAGGCACAGAUACAGCUCUCGGUCACUACACACAGACACCCCUGUGCUGUGCCUGCCGUGGGGGGCUGCAGCCCGGGGGUGCACGGGGCUCUGGUCCCUUGAGCUGGUGAAAGGGGGCAGAUGGAUUAAUGCUGUGUGGUGCUGGGCCCUGCCUGGGCACCCCCAGGGCCGAUGCAGAGCAUGGGCACUGUGGGAGCGGCUGAGGGACAGGGGGGUUCAGCCUGGAGGAAGGAGCUCAGGGGGGCCUUACUGCUCUGCAGCUGCCUGACGGGGGGCUGUGGGCAGGGGGGUGCCCAUCUCUUCUCCCAGGGGACAAGCGACAGGACAAGAGGAAACGGCCUCAGGUUGCACCGGGGGAGGUUUGGGGAAACAUUUCUUCACUGAAGGGGGGCCAAGCACAGGCACAGGGGACACGGUGGGGUCACCAUCCUGGGAGGUGUUUAAAAGCCGUGUGGAUGUGGCGCUUGGGGACGUGGGCAGUGGUGGGCUUGGCAGUGCUCAGUGCUGGGUUAGUGCCUGGACUCUGGGCUUUGCCCACUUAAAACGAUUCUGUGACUCUGCAGGGCCCCGCCCCACCACACAACAAGACUGCUGGCCCUUGGUGCAGCUGCCCCCUGCCCUGACGCCCUGCCCUGACACACUCUGCAUCUCUCCAAGGAUGCUCUCCUGGCUCUGGCUGCUGUCCCCACUGCUGCUCGUGCACCUUGUCACAGCCGAGGCCGAGGAGCCAUGAGGACGAAGGGCAAGGUGAGCGCAGAGAGCAAACACCAGCAGGGCUUCCCAUGGGAAACGGCAGCUUCCAAGCAGGGAAUUGCCUUCGGCACUGGUAAGCAGCCUGGCUGCUCACAGCCUGAAUAUUAACCUCUGAAAAUAUAUAGUCAAUCAAUCAAAAAACUGCAGUAGGGAAAAGAUACAUUAAUUGCGGCAGCUGGAGCAGCUAGGGGGCAGGUUGGCACAGGGAGGUGUCUCUGCCCCUGCGCCCUGGGGAGGACAGUCACAGUGUCCGAGAUGGCAGAAGGUCUGUGCAGAGACUGCCCCGGCCCAGCCCCGUACGGGGCACUGCAGCGCCCUGCUGCUAACGCUACUGAACAGCACCUUGCGUGAUGCAAAGUUAAUGGAAACUUAAAAAAAAAAAAUAACCUCUGUUUUUCCUAAUCUCCCCACCUCUACCUCUGGUGCGCACGCAGUCUCUGUGCAUCCUCACAGCACCCUGCCCAGACAGAGCAGGGCCCCUGCUGAAGGCAGGUGACGUGCAGCCAACACAGUGACAGUGCUGUUUUGGGUGGGUUUUUUGUUGCAGCAGCAGCAAGAGAUGUGACAGUGAAGAAUAAAGCCGAGCAGCACCCAGUGCUCUGGUUUAAAGCUGUCUCCCAUUCCUGAGUCCUCGCCGGUCCCCAGCUCUUCAUCUGGCAUCUCUGGGUCACUUGGUCAACCUGAGAAGUGCUGUGCCACACUGAGCUCACGCACCGUGGCACCAAUGCAGGGAGAUUCAAAAGCCGCACUGCUGGCACUGACAGGGGGGUUGCUUUUUUUUUUCCUUUUUAUUUUGGGUUCUCAUUAUAAAUAUUAACAAAUCUGACAAAAAGUACACAGAUAGAUAAUACUGAAAUACAAAAGUCUUUUAGGAUGCAGGUAAGGACAGUUUCUGCAGCCUUCACAUGGUAGCAAAACAUCAGUAUCAAACAUUUCACGAGGCCUGGCAUGACAACCACCACUCUGCAUGCAGCUGGGACGGAUGGACCGUCCGUUUAGAAAAGGACCAGGAUACAAAGUGAAGAAACCCACACACGCACAUCGUGUCCUACUCCACCUCGAGCAUAAACCAGCUCUGGAGCACGAUGUGCUGAAACAAAUGAUGGAUUGAAAGUAACUUUGCAAGGAAAGGGAGGCACAGCUGACCUGGCGCGCCCGUAGCUCUCCAGGAAGCUUAGACCCAAACCAGGCGUUAAGGUGCUGGACCAGUGACAGACAGAAUUACCAGGAACAUCCCACUUGACACGCUGCCGGCAUUCAAAGAAACCCCAUGCAUAUCUGUAGAAUGCAUUACAAAUAUUAAAUUAUUAAAAAAGCCCCUAUGAACAUCGGGUUUUACCCCCCAUAUCAAACAAGGUAUGACACGAUCAUCACUUUGAAAAGUAAACAGGUUUCCAGAGAUCGGAUUGCUUUCCAAAAAAAAGAAGUUGGCAACACUCACGCACACACACACACACACACACACAGCUGCAGGGCUGAGAAGCUGUAGGUAAUUGAGGCCGAUGGGGAAAGAGCAGCUCUUCCUAAGAAAUCACGGCUUAAAGGCUUCAAAAAUUUCUGACAAAUUGCAGCAUUUUGUGGAAGGUUUUAGCUCAUCCCCCCGGGCACCGGGGUCUUGUGCAAACACGACUUUGUUCACGCAAGCAUCAGCACCCAGGAGGAUGAGGAUGCAGAGCCUGGCCAUGGUGGGUCACAGAGGACGAGAGCUGGGAUUAUUACUAUAAUGUUAUUAUAUUACUACUCUGCUGUACACAGAAAUUUGAUUCGGAUGCCGUUU